rnacentral:pre_miRNA from 1 species
ACAUCAUAGAAAGUGUUAAUGCGAUUUAUAUGUUUCUGCUCGUAAUGCGCUUUCUAUGAUGUAG